CUGAAUCAAUUUACACCAAAGCUGAUGGAGGGAACGCGCAUAAGCCGAGGAAGAACCCGUGACACUUUGGUGUGAAUCCACUUUAAGGACCCAGGAGUGUGUCAUCACUUCCCUUGUCGUGAAUAUUACUGCUGGUUUGUUUGACAGUGAAAAAGUGCUCAGCCUCCCCGGACGGAUUAUCAGAGGAGCGGCAUGGAUGGAAAGCAAGUGACCUACCAAAAGGAAAUCAGCAUAUUCCUCUGGGGAAUCAGCAAAUGCCACUGAAACAGAAGUGGUAUACCAUCAGCCACUUUUCAACCCUGGCCUCACUCUGUAAAGGUGUGUGGGAAGUGGGUUUUCGAAGCCGCCCCACCAUCGGGAAGCACUUCGGACGUUGUAUACUGGUCCCUUAAGGCCCUAAUCAUGUCAGCUGAUGCUGUGCUUUUGUGCUGUGCAUUUUUAAACUAAUUUUGAAUUGGAAAUGAAUAACUGUGAGCAAGGCCUCAAAAAAGCAUUAUAUACCAAAGCUAUGAGAAAAGUUCAAUAUUAUUGAAACCAUGUUGCAACUGUGAGACCUUCCAACAGGUGUUUUUCCCAUAGGAGACAGAUUCUACUGAGAUUCUACUGGGCGAAGGUUCUCAUAG